rnacentral:tRNA from 1 species
AGGAGCUUAGGUUAAUAUGAGACCAAGGGCCUUCAAAGCCCUCAGUGGGGGUGGAAGUCCUCUAGCCCCUG